rnacentral:rRNA from 1 species
UACGGAGGGUGCAAACGUUGCUCGGAAUCGUUGGGCGUAAAGCGCACGUAGGCGGUCCGUUAAGUCGGGAGUGAAAGCCCCAGGCUCAACUUGGGAAGUGCUUUCGAAACUGGCGGACUUGAAUACUGGAGAGGAUCGCGGAAUUCCCGGUGUAGAGGUGAAAUUCGUAGAUAUCGGGAGGAACACCAGCGGCGAAGGCGGCGAUCUGGACAGAUAUUGACGCUGAGGUGCGAAAGCGUGGGGAGCAAACAGG